UGCCAGCAGCCGCGGUAAUACAUAGGGGUCAAGCGUUGUCAGGAUGAUUAUUGGGCCUAAAGCAUCCGUAGCCUGUUCUGUAAGUUUUCGGUUAAAUCUAUGCGCUCAACGUAUAGGCUGCCGAAAAUACUGCAGAACUAGGGAGUGGGAGAGGUAGACGGUACUCGGUAGGAAGGGGUAAAAUCCUUUGAUCUAUUGAUGACCACCUGUGGCGAAGGCGGUCUACCAGAACACGUUCGACGGUGAGGGAUGAAAGCUGGGGGAGCAAACCGGAUUAGAUA
rnacentral:rRNA from 1 species